rnacentral:rRNA from 1 species
GAACGAGAAAGUGGAGCAAUCCAUGAGUACAGUGGCGACCGGGUGAGUAACACGUGACCAACCUGCCCUCGAGUGGGGAAUAACUCCGGGAAACCGGGGCUAAUACCGCAUAACAUCUUCGGAACGCCGGUUCUGAAGAUCAAAGGAGCAAUUCGCUUGAGGAGGGGGUCGCGGCUGAUUAGCUAGUUGGCGGGGUAACGGCCCACCAAGGCUUAGAUCGGUAUCCGGCCUGAGAGGGCGCACGGACACACUGGAACUGAAACACGGUCCAGACUCCUACGGGAGGCAGCAGUGGGGAAUCUUGCGCAAUGGGCGAAAGCCUGACGCAGCAACGCCGCGUGAGGGAUGAAGGCCUUCGGGUUGUAAACCUCUUUCGAGCAGGGACGAUGAUGACGGUACCUGCAGAAGAAGCUCCGGCCAACUACGUG